GACGAACGCUGGCGGCGUGCUUAACACAUGCAAGUCGAACGGAAAGGCCCUCACCUUGGUGGGGGUGCUCGAGUGGCGAACGGGUGAGUAACACGUGGGUGAUCUGCCCUGUACUUCGGGAUAAGCUUGGGAAACUGGGUCUAAUACCGGAUAGGACCAUGGUUUAGUGUCUCAUGGUGGAAAAAUUAUUGUUUUGGUGCAGGAUGAGCUCGCGGCCUAUCAGCUUGUUGGUGGGGUAAUGGCCUACCAAGGCGUCGACGGGUAGCCGGCCUGAGAGGGUGGACGGCCACAUUGGGACUGAGAUACGGCCCAGACUCCUACGGGAGGCAGCAGUGGGGAAUAUUGCACAAUGGGCGCAAGCCUGAUGCAGCGACGCCGCGUGGGGGAUGACGGCCUUCGGGUUGUAAACUCCUUUCGUUAGGGACGAAGCCACACUUUUUUUGGGUGCGGUGACGGUACCUUUGUUAAGAAGCACCGGCUAACUACGUGCCAGCAGCCGCGGUAAUACGUAGGGUGCGAGCGUUGUCCGGAAUUACUGGGCGUAAAGAGCUCGUAGGUGGUUUGUUGCGUCGUCUGUGAAAUUCCGGGGCUUAACUUCGGGGUGGCAGGCGAUACGGGCAUAACUAGAGUGCUGUAGGGGAGACUGGAAUUCCUGGUGUAGCGGUGGAAUGCGCAGAUAUCAGGAGGAACACCGAUGGCGAAGGCAGGUCUCUGGGCAGUAACUGACGCUGAGGAGCGAAAGCAUGGGGAGCGAACAGGAUUAGAUACCCUGGUAGUCCAUGCUGUAAACGGUGGGCGUUAGGUGUGGGGACCGGUUUGGUUUCUGUGCCGUAGCUAACGCAUUAAGCGCCCCGCCUGGGGAGUACGGCCGCAAGGCUAAAACUCAAAGGAAUUGACGGGGGCCCGCACAAGCGGCGGAGCAUGUGGAUUAAUUCGAUGCAACGCGAAGAACCUUACCUGGGUUUGACAUGCACCAGACGGUUGUAGAGAUACGUACCUCCCUUUGUGGUUGGUGUGCAGGUGGUGCAUGGUUGUCGUCAGCUCGUGUCGUGAGAUGUUGGGUUAAGUCCCGCAACGAGCGCAACCCUUGUCUUAUGUUGCCAGCACGUUUGGGUGGGGACUCAUGAGAGACUGCCGGGGUUAACUCGGAGGAAGGUGGGGAUGACGUCAAAUCAUCAUGCCCUUUAUGCCCAGGGCUUCACACAUGCUACAAUGGUUAGUACAACGCGCGGCGAGCCUGUGAGGGUGAGCGAAUCGCUGAAAGCUAAUCUCAGUUCGGAUUGGGGUCUGCAACUCGACCCCAUGAAGUCGGAGUCGCUAGUAAUCGCAGAUCAGCAAUGCUGCGGUGAAUACGUUCCCGGGCCU
rnacentral:rRNA from 1 species